ACAUAUAAUAAAUAUAAUAAAAGAAAUGGAGUGAGUGGAGAAUAGUGGAAUGAUAAAAAGAUGAGUGAUUUUCACUCUAGGUCACUUUCCAUCUUUUUAUUACAUAAUAAGUCACUUCUUGCUAUUGGGGUAGUUUUUGUGACUAAAAUCCAAACAAUUGCUAACUAAUCUUAUUCUUCUAACUAGAGUGGUCCCACCAAUUUUAAGCUUUGUCAUUUUCCUUCUCUCUCUCUCAGUAGCAAGAAAAAUAACUUUAAUUGUAGACACAAGAAAAUUUUGAAUCUGAAAAUAAAGAGAUACACGACGGUGAGGAUGAAGCUAUGAAAGAGUGACCGUUGUGGUCUCUUUGAGCUCACCUGGUCGGAUUCUCGUUGCGUCGUCGUCACCUUAAACACGAACCACUCAAAUUCAAGCUUUUCUCUUCUGCAACUCUUCCUUCUCUGCCUUGAUUUGUGCCCUGCAACUCAUCUGUACCGUUUCCGUCUCGUCUUCUCUUAAGACGUCAAAGCCCCAAAUCCGUAGUAGUUUUCUUUGUCAUCUCCUUCGCUGUAUCUACAUAUCUUCAUCUCCUCUGCUGUGUUUCUACAACUUUCCCUACGUCGUCACCUUGUCUCUUCGCCGCGGCACUGUUUCGAGAAGCUAGAGAACAUCAAUGGCUACUUUUAUUUUUUGCAACUUUGGUCCUUCGUGUUUUAUAUAACUUUGGUUUUGCAACUUUGGUCCUUUAUGGACAGAUUGCUAUUGUUGGGUUUCAGGAUGAGUGAUAUAAUCUUACUGUAAUCUGAUAUUGAAACGUUUAAACAGUUUAUGUAAUCGACGAAGAAUAAGAUGAUCUUUAGCCCUCUCUUGUUCAUUAAACAAACUUAUUAAAUCAUAAAAAAAACUGAGAAAUUUGCUGUACAUGUGUACACAUUUAACAUUUUGUUGUAUGUACGGUGAAAACAUGAAUUUGUCAACGAACAAAGUGUACACAUGUACAUUUGUGAACAAGCGUACAUAUGGCAAUGUCCAUACUAAUGUAAUUGUGUACACACAUACGAAUUAGUAUACAUAUGAACAAUGUACAAAUGUUAAAACAUACAAUAGAUUUAUAAAGUUUAUAUAUGAAAAGUUUACACAUGUACACUUGUGAACCAAUGUACAUAUGGCAAUGUCCACAUAUAUUUUAUUAUCCACGUGUACACAUAUAUUUUAUUGUCCACGUGUACAAGGUUUUCCAAAAACUACAUGUACCAGGUUUUGCGAAAAAUCACAUAUCUACCAGUAUGUUUGUACAUUGCUCUUAUGAUAUUUGAUGAUCUUAGUAUUUUUGGUAUAGUUGCUAAAAAAUAUAUUUUAAGUAACUUGUUUUAAUUCUUAGAUCGUUAUAGUUCUCAUUAUAUUUAUAUAUUGAAUUUGUUUGUUCAAUAUUCAUAUCAUAUGGGAUAAAAAUAAAUUUUAAAAUUUCAUUUUUUGUCAACUUUAGAAAUUCAAUUAAAUCAUUUAUAUCAUUCCAUUCAUAAUAUAGUGUCCACAUGGACAUCCAAAGCCAUUGAUUUUUCUUUGGAGUUUUGUGUUUACUUUUAUGGAAAACAUUAACAAUAUUUGGUGUCCAAACUAGCAUAGAGAAAUUAUCAGUGUGAACAUAUGAAUUAUUAUUUUCAACAAUGACAUCUCAUGAUUUUUUAUGGUUUUAACAUAUGUUUUAGUUUAUUUAAAUUAUUUACGAUGCGUUUUGAUGUUGUUGUAUGUAUGUGUUCAUUUGCAUAUUAUAAGGGCUCGGAAGCACAAUUGGAAGUUUGAAAUUAGUUCAAGAGGACUUAUACGAAAAUCUGAGAGUUUGGGUUCACAUUGAGAAGAACAGAAAUGUUCAAGGACCAAACAUGCAAAAAAGGAGAAGUUUGGCUUGGAAACGAUCGAUCUAUGUCUUCAUCACCAAAACCAAUCAAUCAUGGAUUAACUAGAGGUCGGUGCUGGCUUAUCACAGAGUCAUGUUCACGGAUCGAGCUUAAGCAUGACUUGAAGAUGAAUCGAGACGACGAAGGUGGAUCUGUAGUCGGAGAUCGCCGCGGUGGCUCUCCGUCGUCGCGCUGAGAGAUCCUGGUUGCAGUCGGGACAAGAAGACACAUAGGGCCUAGCGAUUUGAUGCGGUUGCAGCCAACACAGUAACAAUAACGCUCCAAUCUUUCUUCAUUAACGACAAGAUCUCACGGCGGACAGGAGACACCGCGGAAGAGAAGCCCCAAGGAGAAUGAAGACCACUGCGGUGGAUGAAGCUCGCCGUGGCUCUGAAGAUUCCGGUGGACAGUUCGGCGAGUCCCGGUGUCUAUGGUGUGAUGGUGAAAUCUCAGUUAUGUUUUAAUAAAAAAAAACCUGAUAAAGAUGAAGAGAGUGUUCAAAAUAAUAAAAAUAAAAAAAAUGAAGAGAAAAGUAACGAAGAGAAUGGGACCACCAUUUAUAAAAGGAGAGAAGAGAGUGUGUGGAAAGAGAAUAGUUCAGUUUUAGUUAGAAAAGCUAACGACAAUUUGAUCAAAUAGUUAGAGAAAGUGUGUGGGUAGAAGAAAAUGUCCUAGGAUGUUAUUAAAACUGUAAAUGUGACCUACAAUGUAAUACUUUCUAAAAAGAUUGGAGAUAUGGUUGAGAAAGUAAUAAAGAGAAGAAAAGGAAGAAGCGACGGGGAAGCGACAAGUAAGAAGAUGCUUUACUCAAAGAGGCAUGAAGAGAUAAGAAUUAAGCCACUGUUUCUAUCAGAUUCUUUGGUCCCUCUUUAGCCUUUUUCAUCCUUCUAUUGGUUAUAUUCUGCUUGCAUCCGUCAUCCAUGAGUUCACUACACCCACACAAAAAAAUUGUAUUAACCCUAACGUUCUUCUUCUUUUUUUUUUUUUUGGUAAAAACGUUUUUAGGUCAUGUUUCUUUUCUGACUAUGGGCCGUAUACUAUCUUUUAGCUACCGUAAACAUUUUUAUAUGUUGAUGAACCGCCAUUUAAAAUUUGCUUUUGAUAAAAAAACUCAAUAUAUGUAAAUUGCAACCCUACUUAUUCAAGUAAUCUUCGUACAACAUCAACUAGACCUUUGAUAUAAACUUUAUCUAUUGCGCGCUUCCAUAUAAUCUUAUGCGGUUCUGCUAGAAAGUAAGAUAGAUUUAGAUGUUUUGUGAAAUUAAUUCAUUUUUACAAUGGAAACGUAGACUUGGGCCAGGAGCUUUUUGCUCCUGAGAGGCAUGAAGAUAUGGUAGAGAAAGUAAUAAAGCGAAAAAAAGGAAGAAGCUAUGGGGAAGCGAUAAGUACGAACAUGCUUUACUCAAAGAGGCAUGAAGAGAUAAGAAUUAAUAAGGAGUUCUUUUCUUAACUUGUCGAACCAACCUAGUUUUUUACCUCUUUCUAGUAUUGUUGUUUAAAUCUACUUAAAAAAAAUCUACAGGCAUGGGCGACAUGACAUUUCUUAUCUAGUACUACUGAAUAUGUGAAAUGUUAUUACACUAGAGGAUUUUGUAUUUUUGCAAGAAAUAACAUGUUGAGUAUGAUCUUCUUUUUGUGAACAUAUACAAAUGAGUAUGAUCAAAAAAUAUAUAACAACACGAAAGGAAACACAAGACAGUCAAAACCCAUUUACUGCUCAGAGGUCUUCUAAUGGUGCAUCAUUUUGAAGGAAAACAUAAAAAAU
rnacentral:lncRNA from 1 species